GGACCCCUCUAAAAAUCAGUCCACCCUGCGUUCACUGCGCGUGCGUCAUUAGCUGCAGUUCACGGAGUAACACCUCGCUUCUGCUUCAAACUGCCUCCAGUUAUCAUCUAUCU